AACGAACGCUGGCGGCAUGCCUAACACAUGCAAGUCGAACGAGACCUUCGGGUCUUGUGGCGCACGGGUGCGUAACGCGUGGGAACCUGCCCUUAGGUUCGGUAUACCUCCCCGAAAGGGGUGCUAAUACCGGAUAAUGUCUUAGGACCAAAGAUUUAUUGCGUCUGGAUGGGCCCGCGUUGGAUUAGCGAGUUGGUAGGGUAAAAGCCUGCCCAGGCGACGUUCCAUAGCUGGUUUGAGAGGAUGUCCAACCACACUGGGACUGAGACACGGCCCAGACUCCUACGGAAGGCAGCAGUGGGGAAUAUUAGACAAUGGGCGAAAGCCUAAUCCAGCAAUGCCGCGUGAGUGAUGAAGGCCUUAGGGUUGUAAAGCUCUUUUACCCGGGAUGAUAAUGACAGUACCGGGAGAAUAAGCGCCGGCUAACUCCGUG
rnacentral:rRNA from 1 species